GCUGGAGCAGGAGACGGAGGAACUGGAUGAGACAGAGUCCGGAGGCAGCAACAUUGGGGGCGGACGUCGAUCCGGUCAGGAGGAAGAUGCUAUCCUCUCGCCUAAAAGGAUUUCAGCUUCAUUAAAUUGCCGUUAAGAGUAGUUGGUUCUGUUAUGCUAUGUUGCAGGAACUAUUUUAUUAUUGUAUGUCCAAGUACGUGAAAGCCAUAUAAAAGGCAAACCAUUAGUUUUUAUAAUUAAUUAAUGAAUUAAGUUACAACAAAAACGGAAAUCGGGUUGAAGCAACCCUAACUCCAGUCUACUGUUUUAUUGCUGCCGAUCUCCCCCUGUUUCCAAUCGAUCUCCCCAAGUACCGUCUAUCAUUGGUGCUUUCAACACCUCCUGCCUGUCGGGAUUUGAUCAGGAUUCUGCCUGCCGCGAUUUGAUCAGGAUCUGCCCAUCAUCUGAAGAUCUUCAGAAGAUCAAGAUUUGCAAAAAAAAGCAUAUCAAAAGCAUGUUCUUUGUUUAAGAGAUCCUAAACAGGAACGUAUAUAUUCCAUUAAACUCAAUAUCAUUGCUAUUAUUGAAUAAAAUAAAUUUCAGGACACUUAUUACAUCUGAGGAACAUCUGAAGAAGGUUUUGUAGACCUAUAAAAUUUACAAAAAAAUUUCGCCAAAAGUAGGUUCUCUACUUAAGAGAUCCGGAUCAGGGACGUAUCUAAUCAUCCCUAUCUUAUUUGUUCUUCUAUUAAGUGACACAGUUAUAUUUCAAAUUCAUCAUCAUCAUCUGAUAAAUGGCUGAUCCCAUGGAUAUCCAACUAAAAAGACUCCAAAUUAAACAGGACACUGAAGCUGAGAGACUGAGAAACAUGGAAAUGAUAAGUAAUCCAGAGAAUCAAAUUCAGCAAAAGCAAGAAAUGAAGUACAAAUCUAUCAACAGUAUUCCCUAUACCAACAGUAGAUGAGAUACUAGCUGAACUAAAGGGGGCUAAAAUAUUUUCAAAGCUAGAUUUGAGAUCUGGCUAUCAUCAGAUAUUAAUAAACCCUAGUGAUGUGGAGAAAAAAGCUUUUAGAACCCACCAGGGUCACUAUGAGUUUCUAGUGAUGCCCUUUGGCCUCACCAAUACCUCAGCAACCUUCCAAGUUACUAUGAAUAGAAUAUUUUCACCACUAUUAAGGAAGUUUGUGCUGGUUUUCUUUGAUGAUAUUCUAGUUUUCAGUUCUUCUAGAGAGGACCAUGUUAAUCAUCUGAAAACUGUUUUAAUGACACUUAGGGAGAAUCAACUAUUUGCCAAGCAGUCCAAGUGCUUAUUUUUUUAGAGUGAACUGCAGUUCUUGGGACACAAUAUCAGAGCAGAUGGUAAAUCCUGAUCCAGAGAAGGUAUCUUCAAUUCUGAAUUGGCCAACUCCAAAGAAUGUUAAAGCUUUGAGAGGAUUUAUGGGUCUUUCAGGGUAUUACAAAAAGUUUGUUAAAAAUUAUUCCCACCUAGCUGCCCCUAUGACAGACUUACUAAAAAAAGAUCAAUUUGCAUGGAAUGACCUGGCAGAAAAGGGUUUUUUUAUCUCUGAAAGAAGCCAUAGUCUCAGCCCCAGUAUUGCAUCAUCCAGAUUUUGAAAAUCCAUUUGCUAUAGAGACUGAUGCUUACUUAAAUGGAGUUGGGGCAGUAUUAAGUCAGGAGGGUCACCCUAUUGCAUUUUUUAGUUCAAGAAUAUCAGGUAGAAUGCUAUUAGCAUCUACUUAUUCAAAAGAAAUGCUAGCUAUCACUCAAGCUAUUUCUAAGUGGAGGCAUUAUAUAUUGGGCCAUCAUUUUGUAAUCCAUACAGACCACCAAAGCAUAAAGAACAUGGUGAGCCAGAUAAUACAAACCCUUGACCAACAGAAGUUUCUAUGCCAAUUGUUGGGAUUUGAUUAUUCUAUUAAAUACAGGCCAGGAAAAGAAAAUAAAGCAGCAGAUGGUUUGUCAAAACAGUUUGAGGGAGAUGAUUCUAAGGGAGAAUUACAGGCAGGAUCAGUGUUAAGUCUGUGUGCCCUGGUUAGUAGAUUAAUUGACGGAGUGAAAGAGGAACAAAACUCAGAUACAAAGCUAUUAAAAAUAAAAGAGAGCAUCCAGAAAGGUACUGAAAGCAAUACACAGUUGAUAUUGAGAGAAGGAUUACUUCUCAUGAACAAUAGAUAUGUGGUAUCACCCACCUCAGUCUUAAUUAGUGACAUUCUUAGAGAAUAUCAUGACAGCAUCAUUGGUGGUCAUUCAGGGGUGGAAAGAACAAUUAGAAGAAUUAAAUUAAUUUUCUGGUGGAAGGGAAUGUCAAAAGAAAUAAAAAAAUAUGUAGAGGAUUGUGUGGUGUGUCAAAGAAUGAAAACAUAUAUUAAAAGACCACAAGGUCUCUUCCUACACCUGAAGCAGUAUGGCAGGAUAUCUCAACAGAUUUUAUAACCAAUCUACCAGUGGUCAAGGAUAAAUAAGUUAUUAUAAUUGUAGUGGACAGACUAUUUAAAUUCUGCCACUUGGGAAGUUUACCAGCUGAUUUCAACUCUAAGAUGGUGGCAACCUUCUUUGUGCAAGAAGUAAUAAGAUUGCAUGGUGUACCAACAUCAAUCAUUUCUGAGAGGGACAAGGUUUUCACUAGUAGUUUUUGGAGAGAAAUUAAUAGACUAAGUGGAACAACUCUGAAGUUAUCCUCUGCAUACCACCAGAGACUGAGGUAGUAAAUAGAGGUAUUGAAAUAUUCUUAAGGUGUUUAGCUUAUGAACAACCAAAAAAAUGGUUAACCCUACUCCCUUGGGCAGAGUUAUGGCACAACUCCACAUUUAAUGUAUCAAUAGAGAUGACCCCAUUUAAAGCUCUAUAUGGCAGGGAGGCUAACACCUUUGUGGAAGCAGUUAAAGGAAGUUCAACUAAUAUUGAGACUGAAGAGGAAUUGCUUAGAAGGCAGGAAAUUCUAGAAAUAGUUAAAAUUAAUAUGGGCAGAGCAAAAGAGAGAAUGAAGAAGCAAGUUGAUCUUCAUAGAAGGGAAAUGGAGUUCGAAAUUGGGGAUUGGGUAUUUGUUAAACUGAAGCUUUACAGACAGAUACCUAUUGCUAAAAAACUACAUCACAAACUCUCAGCAAGAUAUUAUAGGCCUUAUGAAAUUUUAAAAAAUAUCAGUGAGGUGGCAUACAAAAUCAAAUUACCAAACAAUAGCCUAAUUCAUGAUGUUUUUCAUGUCAGCUUGAAGAAAUAUAGAGGAAUAUUACCACCCGUGGAAAUUGGGUGCUUAACCAAAGUUACAAUUGGAAGUCAGCCGGUAAUUUAUCCUGAGGCGGUACUGGAAAAGAGGGCUUUACUGGGAAAGGGGAAUCUGGUGGAGCAAGCGUCUAUCAGAAUUCCAGAGCUUUCGAUUCUAUCUACAAUUUAGGUAUAUGUGCUCCGGCGUUUCCUCAACUUCUUCACACAGAGUGCACUCUGAUGGGCAUUAGUAGCGUCAAGCUCUGAGGCUGUUGAAGGUAUGUAAUCUGUUCCACUUUAAACUCCACAAAAGUAUACUCAUUUUUUAUUUUAUCCAAUUGACCAAAAUAGAUUGGUCAUUUGAUCAAAUUGUGGUGGUUUUUGUGGAUUUGAUCCAUCUUAAAAUGAAAAAGAAUUAUUGUGAAAGUUCGGAAGUAAUAACAAUUAUAGAAAUUAAACAGGGGCAUAAAUAAAAUAUUCCCUUAGCCGUGAG
rnacentral:lncRNA from 1 species